UACAGAGGGUGCAAGCGUUAAUCGGAAUUACUGGGCGUAAAGCGUGCGUAGACGGUAGCGUAAGUCGGGUGUGAAAGCCCCGGGCUCAACCUGGGAAUUGCAUUCGAGACUGCUCUGCUAGGGUGCGGAAGAGGGGAGCGGAAUUUCCGGGUGUAGCGGUGAAAUGCGUAGAUAUCGGAAGGAACACCAGUGGCGAAAGCGGCUCCCUGGUCCAGCACCGACGUCAGGCACGAAAGCGUGGGGAGCAAACAGG
rnacentral:rRNA from 1 species